GACGAACGCUGGCGGCGUGCUUAACACAUGCAAGUCGAACGAAGUGGCGAACGGGUGAGUAAUACGUGAGUAACCUGCCCUCCUUUUUGGGAUAAACCUUUGGAACGGGGUCUAAUACCGAAUAAAGGGGGAUUGGCUCGCGGCCUAUCAGCUUGUUGGUGGGGUGAUGGCCUACAAAGGCGGUGACUGGUAGCCGGCCUGAGAGGGUGACAGGCGAAAUGGGGAACGGGCUACGGUCCAGACUGCUACGGGAGGGAGCAGUGGGGGACAUUGCACAAGGGGCGAAAGCAUGAUGCAGGGGUGCCGCGUGGGGGAUGAAGGCUUUCGGGUUGUAAACCUCGUGCGCGAUGGAACGGGUAGGUGGAGAAGAAGCGCCGGCUAACUACGUGCCAGCAGCCGCGGUAAUAC
rnacentral:rRNA from 1 species